GAUGAACGCUGGCGGCGUGCCUAAUACAUGCAAGUCGAGCGAACAGACGAGGAGCUUGCUCCUCUGACGUUAGCGGCGGACGGGUGAGUAACACGUGGAUAACCUACCUAUAAGACUGGGAUAACUUCGGGAAACCGGAGCUAAUACCGGAUAAUAUAUUGAACCGCAUGGUUCAAUAGUGAAAAAGGGUUUGCUUUCAAUUAAAGAAGGAUCCGCGCCGCAUUAGCUAGUUGGUAAGGUAACGGCUUACCAAGGCAACGAUGCGUAGCCGACCUGAGAGGGUGAUCGGCCACACUGGAACUGAGACACGGUCCAGACUCCUACGGGAGGCAGCAGUAGGGAAUCUUCCGCAAUGGGCGAAAGCCUGACGGAGCAACGCCGCGUGAGUGAUGAAGGUCUUCGGAUCGUAAAACUCUGUUAUUAGGGAAGAACAAAUGUGUAAGUAACUAUGCACGUCUUGACGGUACCUAAUCAGAAAGCCACGGCUAACUACGUG
rnacentral:rRNA from 1 species